rnacentral:rRNA from 1 species
CUGGCGGCGUGCUUAACACACGCAAGUCGAACGGAGUGGAACGCUGAAUUGAUGUCAGCUUGCUGAUGGAUUUCUGUUCACUUAGUGGCGGACGGGUGAGUAACGCGUGAGUAACCUGCCUCUCAGUGGGGAAUAACGCCCUGAAAAGAGCGCUAAUACCGCAUAAUAUAUUUUUGCCGCAUGACAGGAAUAUCAAAGAUUUAUCGCUGAGAGAUGGACUCGCGUCCGAUUAGCUUGUUGGUGGGGUAACGGCCCACCAAGGCGACGAUCGGUAGCCGGACUGAGAGGUUGAACGGCCACAUUGGGACUGAGACACGGCCCAGACUCCUACGGGAGGCAGCAGUGGGGGAUAUUGCGCAAUGGGGGGAAACCCUGACGCAGCAACGCCGCGUGGAGGAUGACGGUUUUCGGAUUGUAAACUCCUUUUAUAAGGGACGAACUAAGACGGUACCUUAUGAAUAAGCUCCGGCUAACUACGUGCCAGCCGCCGC